GGGUUGUGAGGUUAAGCGACUAAGCGUACACGGUGGAUGCCCUGGCAGUCAGAGGCGAUGAAGGACGUGCUAAUCUGCGAAAAGCGUCGGUAAGGUGAUAUGAACCGUUAUAACCGGCGAUGUCCGAAUGGGGAAACCCAGUGUGAUUCGUCACACUAUCGUUAACUGAAUACAUAGGUUAACGAGGCGAACCGGGGGAACUGAAACAUCUAAGUACCCCGAGGAAAAGAAAUCAACCGAGAUUCCCCCAGUAGCGGCGAGCGAACGGGGAGCAGCCCAGAGUCUGAAUCAGCUUGUGUGUUAGUGGAACGGUCUGGAAAGUCCGACGGUACAGGGUGAUAGUCCCGUACACCAAAAUGCACAGGCUGUGAACUCGAAGAGUAGGGCGGGACACGUGGUAUCCUGUCUGAAUAUGGGGGGACCAUCCUCCAAGGCUAAAUACUCCUGACUGACCGAUAGUGAACCAGUACCGUGAGGGAAAGGCGAAAAGAACCCCGGCGAGGGGAGUGAAAAAGAACCUGAAACCGUGUACGUACAAGCAGUGGGAGCACCUUCGGGUGUGACUGCGUACCUUUUGUAUAAUGGGUCAGCGACUUAUAUUCUGUAGCAAGGUUAACCGUAUAGGGGAGCCGCAGGGAAACCGAGUCUUAACUGGGCGUUAAGUUGCAGGGUAUAGACCCGAAACCCGGUGAUCUAGCCAUGGGCAGGUUGAAGGUUGGGUAACACUAACUGGAGGACCGAACCGACUAAUGUUGAAAAAUUAGCGGAUGACUUGUGGCUGGGGGUGAAAGGCCAAUCAAACCGGGAGAUAGCUGGUUCUCCCCGAAAGCUAUUUAGGUAGCGCCUCGUGAACUCAUCUUCGGGGGUAGAGCACUGUUUCGGCUAGGGGGUCAUCCCGACUUACCAACCCGAUGCAAACUACGAAUACCGAAGAAUGUUAUCACGGGAGACACACGGCGGGUGCUAACGUCCGUCGUGAAGAGGGAAACAACCCAGACCGCCAGCUAAGGUCCCAAAGUCAUGGUUAAGUGGGAAACGAUGUGGGAAGGCACAGACAGCCAGGAUGUUGGCUUAGAAGCAGCCAUCAUUUAAAGAAAGCGUAAUAGCUCACUGGUCGAGUCGGCCUGCGCGGAAGAUGUAACGGGGCUAAACCAUGCACCGAAGCUGCGGCAGCGACACUAUGUGUUGUUGGGUAGGGGAGCGUUCUGUAAGCCUGCGAAGGUGUGCUGUGAGGCAUGCUGGAGGUAUCAGAAGUGCGAAUGCUGACAUAAGUAACGAUAAAGCGGGUGAAAAGCCCGCUCGCCGGAAGACCAAGGGUUCCUGUCCAACGUUAAUCGGGGCAGGGUGAGUCGACCCCUAAGGCGAGGCCGAAAGGCGUAGUCGAUGGGAAACAGGUUAAUAUUCCUGUACUUGGUGUUACUGCGAAGGGGGGACGGAGAAGGCUAUGUUAGCCGGGCGACGGUUGUCCCGGUUUAAGCAUGUAGGCUGGUUGUCCAGGCAAAUCCGGAUAAUCAAGGCUGAGGUGUGAUGACGAGGCACUACGGUGCUGAAGUAACAAAUGCCCUGCUUCCAGGAAAAGCCUCUAAGCAUCAGGUAACAUUAAAUCGUACCCCAAACCGACACAGGUGGUCAGGUAGAGAAUACCAAGGCGCUUGAGAGAACUCGGGUGAAGGAACUAGGCAAAAUGGUGCCGUAACUUCGGGAGAAGGCACGCUGGUGUGUAGGUGAAGCCCCUGCGGGUGGAGCUGAGACCAGUCGAAGAUACCAGCUGGCUGCAACUGUUUAUUAAAAACACAGCACUGUGCAAACACGAAAGUGGACGUAUACGGUGUGACGCCUGCCCGGUGCCGGAAGGUUAAUUGAUGGGGUUAUCCGUAAGGAGAAGCUCUUGAUCGAAGCCCCGGUAAACGGCGGCCGUAACUAUAACGGUCCUAAGGUAGCGAAAUUCCUUGUCGGGUAAGUUCCGACCUGCACGAAUGGCGUAAUGAUGGCCAGGCUGUCUCCACCCGAGACUCAGUGAAAUUGAACUCGCUGUGAAGAUGCAGUGUACCCGCGGCAAGACGGAAAGACCCCGUGAACCUUUACUAUAGCUUGACACUGAACAUUGAGCCUUGAUGUGUAGGAUAGGUGGGAGGCUUUGAAGCGUGGACGCCAGUCUGCGUGGAGCCAACCUUGAAAUACCACCCUUUAAUGUUUGAUGUUCUAACGUUGGCCCCUGACCGGGGUUGCGGACAGUGUCUGGUGGGUAGUUUGACUGGGGCGGUCUCCUCCCAAAGCGUAACGGAGGAGCACGAAGGUUAGCUAAUCCUGGUCGGACAUCAGGAGGUUAGUGCAAUGGCAUAAGCUAGCUUGACUGCGAGCGUGACGGCGCGAGCAGGUGCGAAAGCAGGUCAUAGUGAUCCGGUGGUUCUGAAUGGAAGGGCCAUCGCUCAACGGAUAAAAGGUACUCCGGGGAUAACAGGCUGAUACCGCCCAAGAGUUCAUAUCGACGGCGGUGUUUGGCACCUCGAUGUCGGCUCAUCACAUCCUGGGGCUGAAGUAGGUCCCAAGGGUAUGGCUGUUCGCCAUUUAAAGUGGUACGCGAGCUGGGUUUAGAACGUCGUGAGACAGUUCGGUCCCUAUCUGCCGUGGGCGCUGGAGAAUUGAGGGGGGCUGCUCCUAGUACGAGAGGACCGGAGUGGACGCAUCACUGGUGUUCGGGUUGUCAUGCCAAUGGCACUGCCCGGUAGCUAAAUGCGGAAGAGAUAAGUGCUGAAAGCAUCUAAGCACGAAACUUGCCCCGAGAUGAGUUCUCCCUGAGACUUUAAGUCUCCUGAAGGAACGUUAAAGACGAUGACGUUGAUAGGCCGGGUGUGUAAGCGCAGCGAUGCGUUGAGCUAACCGGUACUAAUGAACCGUGAGGCUUAACCUUACAACGCCGAAG
rnacentral:rRNA from 1 species